rnacentral:rRNA from 1 species
AGAGUUUGAUCCUGGCUCAGAUUGAACGCUGGCGGCAUGCCUUACACAUGCAAGUCGAACGGUAACAGGUCUUCGGACGCUGACGAGUGGCGAACGGGUGAGUAAUACAUCGGAACGUGCCCAGUCGUGGGGGAUAACUACUCGAAAGAGUAGCUAAUACCGCAUACGAUCUGAGGAUGAAAGCGGGGGACCUUCGGGCCUCGCGCGAUUGGAGCGGCCGAUGGCAGAUUAGGUAGUUGGUGGGAUAAAAGCUUACCAAGCCGACGAUCUGUAGCUGGUCUGAGAGGACGACCAGCCACACUGGGACUGAGACACGGCCCAGACUCCUACGGGAGGCAGCAGUAAGGAAUAUUGCUCAAUGGCCGAAAGGCUGAAGCAGCAACGCCGCGUGGGGGAUGAAGGGCUUUUGCUUGUAAACCCCUGUAGCGAGGGAAAAAAUCUCCAUUCUAUGGAGGAUGAUGGUACCUCGAAAGUAAGCGUCGGCUAACUACGUGCCAGCAGCCGCGGUAAUACGUAGGACGCAAACGUUGUCCGGAUUUACUGGGUGUAAAGGGUGCUCAGGCGGUCUUGUAAGUCAGUGGUGAAAUCCCGGAGCUCAACUCCGGAACUGCCUUUGAUACUACAAGGCUUGAGUAUGGAAGAGGUGGAUGGAAUUUCUGGUGUAGCAGUGAAAUGCGUAGAUAUCAGAAAGAACACCAGUGGCGAAGGCGGUCUACUGGUCCAUUACUGACGCUAAAGCACGAAAGCAUGGGGAGCAAACAGGAUUAGAUACCCUGGUAGUCC